CUCGGCAGAAGAUAUCUUCUUGGUUACUCUUCUCUCUUGUUCUUGGAGUGGUUCUGUUCGUGCUAGACUUUGCUUGGAUUGAUAACUCUGGCCUCGGUCUCGGCAACGCGUUUAUCCAUGCUGUUUCGGAACUUUCCGACAGCCCUGAGAGAAAGGUCUGAUUGAUCUCCCUUUGGAAGGUGGAACUUUUACUUGGUCUAAUUCUCGAGAAGUUGAGUCGAAGGCAAGGCUGGACAGAUUCUUGUUUUCUGCAGAUUGGGAGGAUAAGUUUCCUACUGUUUGCCAACGUAGAAUGUCUAGGCUUCUAUCGGAUCACUUUCCGAUUUUCCUAGAGGGUGGUUCCUUUCAUCAAAGGGGUAGGAGGCCUUUUAGAUUUGAAUACAUGUGGCUUAAGGAUGAGGGUUUUGUGGAUAGGGUGCAAUGUUGGUGGGAUUCUUAUCAUUUUCAAGGCGCUCCGAGUUUUGUUUUGGCAAACAAAUUAAAGCUAUUGAAAAAUGAUUUGAAAAAAUGGAAUGUGGAGGUUUUUGGAAAUGUUGAAGAACGGGGAAAACAAUUGUGGAAGGAACUUGGUGAUUUAGAGAAUAUUGAAGAAAGUCGUGGUCUAACAGUGGAGGAAAGGUUGGAGUUGGAUCGAAUCCGAGGGGAGUUGGAAAAAGCAUCUUUAUUGGAAGAAAUUUGUUGGAGGCAGAAAUCUAGGAUCCUUUGUAUUAGAGAAGGAGAUAGGAAUACUAAAUUCUUCCAUCGUGUAGCCAAUUCUCACAGAAGAGUUAACUCCAUCGAUAGCCUUAUGGUGGACGGAGUUUUGUCUUCAGAUCCGGAGGAUAUAGCUGAGUGUAUUUCUCGAUUCUAUGGGUAGCUCUAUUCAGAAAAUGUGGCUCAUAGACCUGUCCUAGAUGAUGUGGAAUUCUCUAAAAUUUCAGAGGAAGAUGCUAUUUGGCUAGAGAGGCCUUUUGAUGAGGAAGUGGUGUUUGGGGUGAUUAAUGGUUUUAAUGGUGAUAAGGCUCCUAGCCCGGAUGGUUAUUCCAUGGCUUUCUUCUAGUCUUGUUGGAGUAUUUUGAAGAAAGAAGUUAUGGAAGUGUUUCAAAACUUUCAUACUCAAGCUGUGUUUGAGAAGAGCCUUAAUGCUUCUUUUCUUGCCUUGAUUCCUAAAAAGGUAGAUGUUGUGGAGAUUAAGGAUUUCCAUCCAAUUAGCUUAGUUGGUGGGAUAUACAAGAUUAUUUCAAAGGUGUUGGCUAAUCGGUUUCGAAGGGUAGCACAUGGGCUUAUUUCAGAUUCACAGAAUGCUUUAGUGAAAGGUAGACAAAUCUUGGAUUCAGUGUUAAUUGCUUUUGAAUGUAUUGAUAGUAGAUUGAAGACUGGGAUUCCAGGAGUGUUGUGUAAGUUAGAUUUGGAGAAGGCGUAUGAUCAUGUGAAUUGGGGUUUUCUUAUGUAUAUGUUGCAGUGCUGUGGGUUUUUAGAUAAGUGGAGAAAAUGGAUUUUGUGUUGCAUUUCUACUGUUAAAUUUUCCAUACUAAUUAAUGGGAGUCCUUCGGAUUUUUUUGGAAGCUCUAGGGGGCUUAGGCAAGGGGAUCCCCUAUCUCCAUUGCUUUUUAAUGUUGUUAUGGAGGCUUUGAGUCGUAUGUUGGAUGUGGCUGCAGCUGCUGAACAAUUUUCGGGCUUCUUUGUAGGUUCUACAAAUAGUACUUCGAUGAUGGUGUCUCAUCUCCUAUUUGUGGAUGACACUCUUAGUUUUUGUGAUGCUGAUCCUAAUCAGUUAGUUACUUUGAGGGAGAUUCUGAAUAGAUUUGAGGAGGUUGCUGGGUUAAAAAUUAAUUUGGGGAAAUCAGAGUUGGUUCCAGUUAGAGAGGUGCAUAAUCUGGAUGUGUUGGUGGGGUUGUUGGGUUGUAGGCAUUCUUCCCUUCCUUUGAAAUAUUUGGGACUUCCUUUGGGCGCCAAAUUCAAGGAGGUAUCAAUAUGGAAUCCUAUUUUAGAGAAGAUGGAAUGAAGACUAGCAGGUUGGAAGAGACUUUAUUUAUCUAAGGGAGGGGUCACUCUUAUUAAAAGUGCCUUAUCCUCCUUACCUACUUAUUUCCUUUCCAUUCUUCCUAUUCCUAGGAAGGUUGCUAAUCGUAUGGAGAAACUACAAAGAGAUUUUCUUUGGAGUGGUAGUAAUGGUGAUUCUAAAUUUCACUUGGUGAAAUGGGCUAAGGUUUGCAAGCCAAUGCAGGGUGGGGGGCUUGGUAUCAGACGAUUGAGAAGUUUUAACACUACUUUGUUGGGCAAGUGGUCGUGGAGGUAUGGUUUAGAAACAGAUGCGCUGUGGAGGAGGGUCAUAGAGGCAAAAUAUGGGAAUGUUUGGGGUGGUUGGUGCACGAAAAAGGUGAUUAGUCCGUAUGGUGUUAGCCUUUGGAGGUUUAUUAGAAGUGGCUGGCUGAACUUCUCUAAACUAUUACGGUAUGAUGUGGGUGAUGGUACUAGAGUGAAGUUUUGGAAGCACGUGUGAUGUGGGGAUUGUUCCCUCAAAGAGGCUUUUCCAGAACUUUACAGCCUUAGUGGAGCAAGGGAUUCUUCAGUGGCGGAGGUUAUGGGCUGGUCGGGUGGGCAGCUGCAUUGGAAUUUUCUUUUUCGUCGUUCACCACAAGAUUGGGAGGAAGAAUCUUUUGAUCGGUUCAUGGACAUUGUUUACUCUUCAAAAGUGCGGGGGGUUGGCCUUGAUAAGGUUGGUUGGAAGAUAGCUAGGAGUAGAGGGUUUAAGGUUAGUAGUUUUUAUCUCUCCUUCUACCCUCCUUCCUUUUCGUUCCCUUGGAGGUUGGUGUGGCACUCAAAGGUUCCCCCAAGGGUGGCUUUCUUCUCAUGGUCAGCUUCUCUAGGUUGUGAUGUUGACCCUUAUUCUCAUUUUUGCCAUUGUCCACAGUGGCUUGGCUAGCCUCCGAGAUGUGGGUGAGAAACUCAUUGGAGAACGAGCUUUCCGUGUUUUGUUUGCUGGGACAUCUCUGCCAUUGGCUGUU